GUACACACCGCCCGUCGCUACUACCGAUUGAAUGGCUUAGUGAGGCCUCUGGAGCUGGGAUCCUGAGAAAUUGGGAUUUUGGUGAAACUGGUCAAACUUGGUCAUUUAAAGGAAGUAAAAGUCGUAACAAGGUUUCCGUAGGUGAACCUGCAGAAGGAUCA
rnacentral:rRNA from 1 species